CUUGUACUCCCUUCGUCCGAAAAUACUUGUCAUUGAAAUGGAUGUAUCUAGAUGUAUUUUAGUUCUAGACACAUCCAUUUUGAUGACAAGUAAUUCCAGACGGAGGGAGUACUUG
rnacentral:pre_miRNA from 1 species